rnacentral:rRNA from 1 species
UACGUAGGGUGCAAGCGUUAAUCGGAAUUACUGGGCGUAAAGCGUGCGCAGGCGGCUUUGCAAGUCAGAUGUGAAAUCCCCGGGCUUAACCUGGGAAUGGCAUUUGUGACUGCACGGCUAGAGUGUGUCAGAGGGGGGUAGAAUUCCACGUGUAGCAGUGAAAUGCGUAGAUAUGUGGAGGAAUACCGAUGGCGAAGGCAGCCCCCUGGGAUAACACUGACGCUCAUGCACGAAAGCGUGGGGAGCAAACAGG